UGGGGAAUUUUGGACAAUGGGCGCAAGCCUGAUCCAGCCAUGCCGCGUGCAGGAUGAAGGCCUUCGGGUUGUAAACUGCUUUUGUACGGAGCGAAAAGGUCUGCCCUAAUACGGUGGGCUCAUGACGGUACCGUAAGAAUAAGCACCGGCUAACUACGUGCCAGCAGCCGCGGUAAUACGGAGGGUGCAAGCGUUAAUCGGAAUUACUGGGCGUAAAGCGCACGCAGGCGGUCUGUUAAGUCAGAUGUGAAAUCCCCGGGCUCAACCUGGGAACUGCAUUUGUGACUGCAUAGCUGGAGUGCGGCAGAGGGGGAUGGAAUUCCGCGUGUAGCAGUGAAAUGCGUAGAUAUGCGGAGGAACACCGAUGGCGAAGGCAAUCCCCUGGGCCUGCACUGACGCUCAUGCACGAAAGCGUGGGGAGCAAACA
rnacentral:rRNA from 1 species